rnacentral:rRNA from 1 species
AUAAAUAAGCGGAGGAAAAGAAACCAAACGGGAUUCCCUUAGUAACGGCGAGCGAAAAGGGAAAUGUCCAGCGCCAAGUCUUGACAUCUAUGGUGUUCAAGAGAUGCGGCGUUAAUGUGUCGACGCAUCAUGCGCUGUUUCUUGUUUCAAGUUCCUACGACCGGGACUUCCAGAGCGGGUGUAAGACCCAUAGAGACAGGAGACUGGCGUAUGCUGAGCGAUGCAUUCUAGAGUCAGGUUGCUUGAGAGUGCAGCUUAAAGUCGGUGGUAAACUCCAUCCAAGACUAAAUACUACAGCGAGACCGAUAGCAAACAAGUACUGUGAAGGAAAGUUGCAAAGCACUUUGAAGAGAGAGUUCAAAAGUACGUGAAACCACUGGGAGGCAAACAGAUGGAACCACGAAGUUGCGCCUCGGUCGAUUCAAUCAUCACUGUUGGUUAGUUGGUUGGAAUUAGUGUCUUUUAGGAGAUAGAUUCCAAUUGAUUGUAAUUGGCAGUGAUGGUGCAUUUCGUGCCGGGGAUGCUAAGCCACGUUCAACUAGAGUUGGGACGGCAGUAAGACAGAAUCCGAGAAAGGUACCCGUCAACUGCUUGCACUUGAUGGCGUUAUAGUCUUGGAUUGGAACCGUCGCCAAACAUACUGGUUGAUGCAAUUUCUCCRUUUGGAGUUGAACCAUGUCUGCCUGUUGCAGCUAGUCGUUGUUCCGUAGUGUUCUUUGCGUAUCUUUCGAUGCGAAAAGACGCUACAAAGAUGGCGGCUAGUUGUGAUUUGCGUGACAUGGUGGAACUGUGGCGCGAGUAGGUCGGUCUCCAUCUGACCCGUCUUGAAACACGGACCAAGGAGCCUAUCAUAUACGCGAGUCGCUCGGUCUUGUUUAGGCCUGGGAGGCGGAAUGAAAGUAAAGUYAUGAGACUUUGGUCGCAAUAACGGCUCGCCCACUUCGUUUAUUGGCGAUCUGGCGAAGCUGGAGCGUAUACGAUGGUACCCGAAAGAUGGUGAACUAUGCCUGGGCAAGACGAAGCCAGAGGAAACUCUGGUGGAGGUCUGUAGCGAUUCUGACGUGCAAAUCGAUCGUCAGACCUGGGUAUAGGGGCGAAAGACUAAUCGAACCAUCUAGUAGCUGGUUCCCUCCGAAGUUUCCCUCAGGAUAGCAGGCGUUUAUUUCGCAGUCUCAUCCGGUAAAGCUAAUGAUUAGAGGUCUUGGGGUUGAAACGACCUCAACCUAUUCUCAAACUUUAAAUGGGUGAGAUGGUUGACUUUCUUGAUUGAAGCCAACCAUUUGGAUGCAAAUGCCUAGUGGGCCAUUUUUGGUAAGCAGAACUGGCGCUGUGGGAUGAACCAAACGUCGAGAUAAGGCAUCAAAUGCGUACGCUCAUGAGACCCCAUGAAAGGUGUUGGUUGCUAUAGACAGCAGGACGGUGGCCAUGGAAGUCGGAAUCCGCUAAGGAGUGUGUAACAACUCACCUGCCGAAGCAACUAGCCCUGAAAAUGGACGAUGCUGUAGCGUGGAGCCGAUACUCGACCGUUAUGAUGAUUCUGAAGAGGAUGCGAUAUCAUAACGAGUAGGAGGGCCGCAGUGUUAGCGUUGAAGGUGUCCGGCGUGAGCCGGCCUGGAGCUAUCAUUGUU